UAAAGUUUGAGAGCUUGAUCAGAACACAGACUUACUUUCCUUCUUUGCCCCUCUUGUCCCCCAUUCUUUCGCCCCCUCCCAGGUCUACUCUGAACCCCCGCAGGUUGGGUCAUGGAAGGGCAGUCAGCGCUCUUAACCACUGAGCCAUCUCUACAUAGGUGUGGCAACCAUGGCGAGUACCAAAAGGUGUUCCCUGUUGUGACCCAGACCUCAGUGAAGAGUCUGACUGGCUUGGUUACCUCAGACUGCGGCAGCAAAGCCACUGAAGCCCAAGUGGUUGAUGGAGAGCACAUACUUCUACCUUGACCUUCUAGAGGCCGAAGGUCCAAGGUCAAUACUACAUGAGGUCAAGCUCUGGUGUGGACUGCUGUCUGCUUACCUUGCUCUCACCGGAUCGAUGUCCUUCCUAGUGGAACAUCUUGAGAACAGAGAAGAUGAGCCCAGAGAACCACUGAGGUACCCCAAGUCAGUAGCCCCUACCGGAUCUCACAGGGUAGAGUACCAUAGAGGUACUGUGACACCGGGCUUAGCAGAUUUACCCACUCUGUCUGUUUUGGCUGGUCCUACAACUAUUUUGAAGUUGGAGAACUGUAAGUAGAUUGGUCUUUCCUUAUUUGGCUCAAAGCUGCCGAGUUUUGGGGAGCUAUGAUCUUUCCAGGGGUAACUCUAGGGACCUGUGUGUAGAUGUAGGCAGAUGCCAGGGUUGACACUGUGGGCCCCAGCUGCUGAAGCUAGCUCUCUGAGAUUCCAGUGUUGGGCUCUGCCAGACUAAUGGACUAUUGCUGCCCAAGCAGCUCUCCCAGCCAAGGCCACGUCCUUACCAACUGUGACCUGGAGCCAACCUGGUGGCCAGAGGACAUAGAGCAAAUCCACAGUCUGCAGCCCCCUCAACAUGAGAUGGAGAACCACCUCAACUGUAUGACAAAUUCAGGAAUUCCCCAGCUGGGCUCCUCUCUCUCCUGCUGCAGACCGACAGGGGUUCGGGUCUGAGACCUCGGUGGUCAGGCCAGGCUGCAUUCACACUGACUCCAAGUGGUUUAGUUAGAGACUCAGAACCACUAAGUGCCCUGGCUGUAGAGUUUUCUGAUGCCAUGUGAGAUGAUCAAGGCCCUCUUUCUAUGGCAUGUGAAGCCACAAACAUCACCUGGCCGUCUUGCAUCGGUGUAAGGAGACCUUAGGAGUUGCACAAAACUCUGUGGAACGAGUGGACCUUGCCACCAGACAGAAGAACGGGUAUGGUUGAGUGAGCCCAAACCACGUGAAUCUCAGAACUGAGAACGGUAGACAUGGGCCUGACUCCCUGCCUAACUCUACCUGCUCUGGAACCGAUAACUGUAACAUCCCCUUGAGAGGAUCGUGACGAUGACUCAUGUACGGUCGCGUAGCAUGAAAACCCAACAUAUGAUAGAGAGUGUUGGUAUUCUG
rnacentral:sRNA from 1 species